rnacentral:rRNA from 1 species
CUAACGAGGAUUCCCCUAGUAACGGCGAGUGAAGCGGGAAGAGCUCAAAUUUGAAAUCUGACGGUCUAUUGGCCGUCCGAGUUGUAGUCUGGAGAAGCGUUUUCUACCUCGGACCGUGUACAAGUCCCUUGGAACAGGGCSUCGCAGAGGGUGAGAAUCCCGUCUUUGACACGGACUGCCGAUGGUUAUACGAUGCGCUCUCAAAGAGUCGAGUUGUUUGGGAAUGCAGCUCAAAACGGGUGGUAAAUUCCAUCUAAAGCUAAAUAUUGGCGAAAGACCGAUAGCGAACAAGUACCGUGAGGGAAAGAUGAAAAGCACUUUGGAAAGAGAGUUAAACAGUACGUGAAAUUGUUGAAAGGGAAACGCUUGAAGUCAGUCGCGUCUUCCGGGACUCAGCCCUUGCUUUUUUUAGCUGGGUGUAUUUCCUGGGACGACGGGCCAGCGUCGAUUUCGACCGUCGGAGAAAGGCCUUGGGAACGUGGCACCUGUUUUUGGGUGUGUUAUAGCCCUCGGUCGCAUGCGACGGUUGGGAUCGAGGAUCGCAGCACGCCUUUUUGGCCGGGGUUCGCCCACGUAACGUGCUUAGGAUGCUGGCGUAAUGGCUUUAAGCGACCCGUCUUGA